rnacentral:rRNA from 1 species
GAUGAACGCUGGCGGCGUGCCUAAUACAUGCAAGUCGAGCGAACAGAUGAGGAGCUUGCUCCUCUGACGUUAGCGGCGGACGGGUGAGUAACACGUGGAUAACCUACCUAUAAGACUGGGAUAACUUCGGGAAACCGGCGCUAAUACCGGAUAAUAUAUUGAACCGCAUGGUUCAAUAGUGAAAGACGGUUUUGCUGUCACUUAUAGAUGGAUCCGCGCCGCAUUAGCUAGUUGGUAAGGUACCGGCUUACCAAGGCAACGAUGCGUAGCCGACCGGAGAGGGUGAUCGGCCACACUGGAACGGGGACACGGUCCAGACGACUACGGGAGGCAGCAGUAGGGAAUCGUCCGCAAUGGGCGAAAGCCUGACGGAGCAACGCCGCGUGAGUGAUGAAGGUCUUCGGAUCGUAAAACUCUGUUAUUAGGGAAGAACAAAUGUGUAAGUAACUAUGCACGUCUUGACGGUACCUAAUCAAAAAGCCACGGCUAACUACGUG